CGGAGGUCUGAGAAGGUUGAGCAGCCUGUGCGGUGCUGUUCUUAACUGGUUACUACCUCCUACACGAACAAUCAAAACACUCCAUGAUGGGCUCUGCUGUGACGUGCUGAGCCUAAUUUGUGUUUGAUGACAAUUU